rnacentral:rRNA from 1 species
UACGUAGGGGGCAAGCGUUGUCCGGAAUCAUUGGGCGUAAAGAGCGUGUAGGCGGCCCGGUAAGUCCGCCGUGAAAGUCCAGGGCUCAACCCUGGAAUGCCGGUGGAAACUGCCGGGCUGGAGUCCGGAAGAGGCGAGUGGAAUUCCUGGUGUAGCGGUGAAAUGCGCAGAUAUCAGGAGGAACACCAAUGGCGAAGGCAGCUCGCUGGGGCGGUACUGACGCUGAGACGCGAAAGCGUGGGGAGCAAACAGG